rnacentral:rRNA from 1 species
UAAUACGAACCGUACAAACGUUAUUCGGAAUCACUGGGCUUAAAGGGUGCGUAGGCGGCCAUGUAAGUGAGGUGUGAAAUCCCUCGGCUCAACCGAGGAACUGCGCUUCAUACUGCAUGGCUUGAGGGAGACAGGGGUAAGCGGAACUGAUGGUGGAGCGGUGAAAUGCGUUGAUAUCAUCAGGAACACCGGUGGCGAAAGCGGCUUACUGGGUCUCUUCUGACGCUGAGGUACGAAAGCUAGGGUAGCGAACGGGAUUAGAUACCCCGGUAGUCCUAGCUGUAAACGAUGAGCACUUAUCUGGGGAUCCUCCCAUAGGUUCCCGGAUGUAGCGAAAGUGUUAAGUGCUCCGCCUGGGGAGUAUGGUCGCAAGGCUG